rnacentral:misc_RNA from 1 species
UAUUGCUAUAAUAAGGCAAUUUCUCCUUUCUAUUGACUGAAAUUUGAAAUUAUGAAAACAAACCUGUUUUAAAUUAUAUGGAAACAGAAUUUCUUGGUACACAUAAAUCUGAUACAAAACAAAGUAUGAGCGAGAGUUUUAAUAAGAACAAAGAACAAGUAUACAUUACAUUUCUCUGGAUCCACUCAUAGCUUCCUUUCUCCUGGAAUUCAAGAAAACGGAUGAAAAGUUGAUGAACCUUAUCUCCAGCAAUCCCAGAAAUAUUUGAAUUCUCUCCAAUUUCCAUCAAGAAAACAUCAAGAUUCAUGACAGAGACUCUAAACCACUAAUUUAACCAAUUCCAGGAACAAUACCAAGAACCAGAACUUGCAUUAGAAAACUGACAUGAAAAGAAAAGCCCAAAAAAAAAAAAAAAGAAGGUGAAAAGAAGAUGAUGAGCUCUGGAGAUCAAAGAAACAGGAAAGGCAUUUUAAGUGAUGUUGAACACUGUUUUUCAUCGUUGUUGGAAUUAUUACACUGUUGUCUUCUUCUUUCUCUCAAACUCACAAUUGUUGGAAGCACUAUCUCCAUUGAAGCUCCAAUGAGAUAUCUUUGAGUAAGAUUUUGGCAAGUGUUGCAGAGAAAGCAUCUAAUAUGCCUGAAAGCUAAGAAAUUCGCACCAUGUACCCAUUUGUCACAUUCUCUACACAGAAAUGCAUCAUCUGCUUGGCAAUAUAAAGAUGCUCGAGACCCACAGAGUUCACAGCAUAUCAAACUUGAGGCUUCAUCGCCUGAACCAGCUUCUUUCUCCUCUAGUUUCAUGCAGAACCUGCCUUGGUUGUGGCUUCUCUCCUCUACACCUCUGCACAUUUUCUCUCUUUCACAAGCUUAAAAAGGGAUUCUAGGAGAUUGGAGGAAGGAUUUAAAGAGACCUUCUAUGCUAUAACCACUAUUGUUCACAGACAGUUUCCAGGAAAUGAGUUCUGGACAGAAUUUUAGCAUAUAAAAAAGGAAUGAAAGCCACUAAAUGACAAAGUUGUCACUAUUUAUAAUCUCUAAUCAAUCUUUUAAUUACCCUUUUUUUUAAAGUAUGGAAUUUCAAACUUGUGGUAGAGAAAUUUUAAUUGUACAAUCUCAAUUUUAUGAAGUUCAAAGAAGAAUCUUAAUAUACUAAUGGGGUAAGAUUAAUGGUAUUAAAGGGUCCUUCAUGUAAUUUAAUAAGCCAAAAAAACAAAAACAUGAUUACGCUACAAGCUUUGUGAGAGAUGCUUGGAGGGAAGUCAUGAACCAUAAUUUUUGCCGUUGAGUGGUUACCAAGUCAAUUUGGGUUACUAAAGAAGCAAGGGGUGUUUGUAUGGCCAAGAAUUAAAGCUCCUCUUGGUGAAAGCCCACCAUCCAUCAAAACACAGA